AUGAUCACACACAACGCCAUCAUUGCAUUCGAAUGCUUUCACAAGAUCCAACACUCUAGGAAUGUUAGAGAUAAUUACUGCACAUAUAAGCUGGACCUUGCCAAAGCCUACGAUAGAGUGGAUUGGGAUUUCUUGGAAGGAGUGCUUCGAAAGUUUGGUUUCUGCAAGAAGUGGACUGAUUGGGUUAUGCAGCGUGUCUGUACUGUGCGGUACUCAGUGAGAUGCAAUGGAGGACUCUUGGACCCAUUUAUCCCAUCCAGAGGGCUGAGACAAGGGGACCCCCUUAGCCCCUACAUGUUCCUGUUUGUUGCGGAUGUCCUAGUGCACUUGCUAAAAAAGGAAAUUGCUGAAAACAACUUGACACCCAUUAAGAUUGCGAGAAACAGCCCGGGCAUCUCAAACCUCCUCUUCGCGGAUGAUAGUUUGAUUUUGUUCAAGGCCACGACUGAGCAAGCCAAAACCAUCAAAAGAGUGUUAACAACUUUCUAG
rnacentral:rRNA from 1 species